AUAUGAACAUGGGAUCGUUUGCCCUACAUGGAGAUAUUAUCUUGCAGAUUCUGUUUUUCCUCUCCUCAAGCAUUUCAUUACUCCAUAUCGUGGGUUACAAUAUCAUCUAAAUGCUAUUAGAGAUUGAUUGCAUAAUUCACGGAAAGAGUUAAUUAAUCGUAGGCACUCAUUGUUACAAAAUGUCAUUGAACUAGCAUUUGAUGUUCUGAAGAAGUGUUUUGGCAUAUUAUGCGCAAAGCUGACAUACUCAUUUGAAACGCAAAUUGAUAUUGUUUUAGCUUGUUAUAUGCUGCAUAAUCACAUUAGAAGAGUGAUGCUAGAUGAUAAUCUAUUGGAGGACACAGACACUGAUUUGAGUAGGAAAACUCCUAAAGUUGACGAUCUUGUCGAAGCCCCAUCUAGCAGAGCAGAAGAGAGGCUCGUGAGGGUAGUAGAAAUGUAGAAUAAGAAAUGAAAUUAUAUACUUCUUGUGGAAUGCCUAUCAACUUCAACAUUGUCUUCGAUAAAUCUUUUUGAUGUGAUGUAAUAGUUAUGAACACAAAAUCAUUUGUUUAUGAAUAGAUCUUUAUGUCAUCAUGUAAAAGUUUUGAACACAAAACCUAUUUGCUUAUGAUUGUAAUUGCAAUGGCUUGUUUCAAACGGUAUUUGGUUGACAUAAAAGUUCUUUGAGAUUAAAAAUUUCAUUGAAACUUCUAUUAUGUGAAUGAUUAAUUUUUUAUAAUUGUUAUUUUUUAGAAUUUUAAUGAAUGGUAUCAUAUUUCAAAAUUUGGCUAGUAGUUAUAACUUUUAAUGUCUAUACUAGGGAUGGAUGAAUUUGAUGAGUCAAAGGAAAGGAAGAACAUGCAUUGGUCUCCUGCUAUGGACCGGCGUCUGCUUGAAACAUUACUUCAACAAGUUUAAGAGGGAAACAAAUGCCCAAAUGGAUUUAAACCUGCUGCAAACACCGUGGUCGUGGAUGCGUUGAACCAACAAUUCUCUUCCCAUCUUUCACGGCAACAUAUUAUCAAUUGCCUCAAAAUUCUGGGACCACACAUAGAUAAGUGUUAAAGUUGAUUGGUCGAAGUGGAAUUGGAUGGAAUGUUCAAACCAAAAUGUUGGAUGUUAGCAAAGAGCAUUUAUAUUGAGAAAUCCAGACAUGGACAAGAAGCUUAACAAGAAGAAAUUUAAGUUAUUUGACAAGAUGUGUGAGGUAUUCAGAGCAAAUCAUGCAACUGGAGAGUGGGCAAGAUCACGGAAA